AUAUAUGGCCAUGUCACGUUGAAAGCAUCGGUUCUCGUCCGAUCACCGUAGUUAAGCAACAUCGAGCCUAGUGAGUAGUUAGAUGGGUGACCGCUUGGGAAAACCUAGGUGCUGUAAACG
rnacentral:rRNA from 1 species